rnacentral:rRNA from 1 species
GACGAACGCUGGCGGCGUGCUUAACACAUGCAAGUCGAACGGAAAGGCCCUGCUUUUGUGGGGUGCUCGAGUGGCGAACGGGUGAGUAACACGUGAGUAACCUGCCCUUGACUUUGGGAUAACUUCAGGAAACUGGGGCUAAUACCGGAUAGGAGCUCCUGCUGCAUGGUGGGGGUUGGAAAGUUUCGGCGGUUGGGGAUGGACUGGCGGCUUAUCAGCUUGUUGGUGGGGUAGUGGCUUACCAAGGCUUUGACGGGUAGCCGGCCUGAGAGGGUGACCGGCCACAUUGGGACUGAGAUACGGCCCAGAAUCCUACGGGACGCAGCAGUGGGGAAUAUUGCACAAUGGGCGGAAGCCUGAUGCAGCAGCGCCGCGUGCGGGAUGACGGCCUUCGGGUGGUAAACCGCUGUCGCCUGUGACGAAGCGUGAGUGACGGUAAUGGGUAAAGAAGCACCGGCUAACUACGUG